rnacentral:rRNA from 1 species
GGGUCAGGAGGUUGGUCGUGCCACCGGUACGUACUGGUCUCACUGAUUCCUCCUUCCUGAAGAACCGUAAUGCCAUUAAUUUGGUGUUGCGGGGAAACAGGACUGUUACUUUGAAAAAAUUAGAGUGUUUAAAGCAAGCUAACGCUUGAAUACAUUAGCAUGGGAUAAUGAAAUAGGACGAUCGAUCCUAUUUUGUUGGUUUCUAGGAUUGACGUA